rnacentral:rRNA from 1 species
AGAAUCAACGCUGGCGGCGUGCCUAACACAUGCAAGUCGAACGAGAAAGUGGAGCAAUCCAUGAGUAAAGUGGCGCACGGGUGAGUAACACGUGACUAACCUACCCUUGAGUGGGGGAUAACCUAGGGAAACCUGGGCUAAUACCGCAUAAUACCUUCGGGUCAAAGGAGCAAUUCGCUUAAGCGAGGGGGUCGCGGCCGAUUAGUUAGUUGGCGGGGUAAUGGCCCACCAAGACGAUGAUCGGUAUCCGGCCUGAGAGGGCGCACGGACACACUGGAACUGAAACACGGUCCAGACUCCUACGGGAGGCAGCAGUGGGAAUUUUGCGCAAUGGGGGAAACCCUGACGCAGCAACGCCGCGUGGAGGAUGAAGUCCCUUGGGACGUAAACUCCUUUCGAUCGGGACGAUUAUGACGGUACCGGAAGAGAAGCCCGGCUAACUUCGUGCCAGCAGCCGC